rnacentral:rRNA from 1 species
GACAGAGGGUGCAAACGUUGCUCGGAAUUACUGGGCGUAAAGCGCGUGUAGGCGGGAAGAUAAGUCGGGCGUGAAAUCCCUGGGCUCAACCUAGGAACUGCAUUCGAAACUGUCUUUCUGGAGUGAUGGAGAGGAAAGCGGAAUUCCCGGUGUAGAGGUGAAAUUCGUAGAUAUCGGGAGGAACACCAGUGGCGAAGGCGGCUUUCUGGCCAUCAACUGACGCUGAGACGCGAAAGCGUGGGGAGCAAACAGG